rnacentral:misc_RNA from 1 species
GAUUAAUUGGAUUGGGCCUUGGUAUGGAAACCCGCUGAGUGAGAACUUUCAAAUUCAGAGAAACCCUGGAAUUAAUAAAAAGGGGCAAUCCUGAGCCAAAUCCUAUUUUCCGAAAACAAAGGUUCAGAAAGUGAAAAAGGGGAUAGGUGCAGAGACUCAAUGGAAGCUGUUCUAACAAAUGGAGUUGGCUGCGGUAGUCGAGAAGUCUUUCCAUCAAAAAGUCAUAAUUCAUAAAUAUUAAGGAUGAAGUGAAGGAUAAACAUAUAUACAUAUACAUACGUAGUGAAUAAUAUAUUAAAUGAGUAAUGACAGCUCGAAUGAAUCUAUAUUUUUUCUAUGAAAAAAUAUAGAAUUGUUGUUAAUAGAUUCCACGUUUAAGAAAGAAUCGAAUAUUCAUUGAUCGAAUGAUUCACUCCAUAGUCUGAUAGAUCUUUUCACGAACUGAUUAAUCGGACGAGAAUAAAGAUAGAGUCCCAUUCUACAUGUCAAUGUCGGCAACAAUGAAAUUUAUAGUUAAGAGGAAAAUCCGUCGACUUUGAAAAUCGUGAGGGUUCAAGUCCCUCUAUCCCCAAAUAGACUAUUUGACUCUCCAACUAUCUAUUUACCUAUCCCUUUUUUGUUAUCCGUUCAAAAUGCCUUAUCGAUUCACUCUAUUCUCUUAGAAGUGAUCGCGUCGAAAAUGUCCUUUUCUUAUCACACCUAUAUGAUAUACAUACAAAUGAACAUGUUUGAGCAAGAAAUCCCCAUUUGAAUGAUUUACAAUCUAUAUAAUUACUUAAUACUGAAAUUACCAAAGUUCUCUUUUUUAAGAUACAAGCCAAGCAAUUUCAGUACCUAAAUAAAAUUUAGGAAUUCCCUUUCUUUCUUUUAAUUGACACAGUCCCUAUUUUCGAGUAAAAUGAGAAUGCUACAUUGGGACGGGUCGGGAUAGCUCAGCUGGUAGAGCAGAGGACUGAAAAUCCUCGUGUCACCAGUU